AUUGAACGCUGGCGGCAUGCCUUACACAUGCAAGUCGAACGGCAGCACGGGAGCAAUCCUGGUGGCGAGUGGCGAACGGGUGAGUAAUAUAUCGGAACGUGCCCAGUCGUGGGGGGAUAACGUAGCGAAAGCUAACGCUAAUACCGCAUUACGAUCUAUGGAUGAAAGCGGGGGAUCGCAAGGACCUCGCGCGAUUGGAGCGGCCGAUAUCAGAUUAGGUAGUUGGUGGGGUAAAAGCCUACCAAGCCUUCGAUCUGUAGCUGGUCUGAGAGGACGACCAGCCACACUGGAACUGAGACACGGUCCAGACUCCUACGGGAGGCAGCAGUGGGGAAUUUUGGACAAUGGGCGCAAGCCUGAUCCAGCAAUGCCGCGUAGCAGGAU
rnacentral:rRNA from 1 species